UACGGGGGGGGCAAGCGUUGUUCGGAAUUACUGGGCGUAAAGGGCUCGUAGGCGGCCAACUAAGUCGGACGUGAAAUCCCCAGGCUCAACCUGGGAACUGCGUCCGAUACUGGAUGGCUUGAAUUCGGGAGAGGGAUGCAGAAUUCCAGGUGUAGCGGUGAAAUGCGUAGAUAUCUGGAGGAAUACCGGUGGCGAAGGCGGCAUCCUGGACCGACAUUGACGCUGAGGAGCGAAAGCAUGGGGAGCGAACAGG
rnacentral:rRNA from 1 species